rnacentral:rRNA from 1 species
GAUGAACGCUGGCGGCGUGCCUAAUACAUGCAAGUCGAGCGAACGGACGAGAAGCUUGCUUCUCUGAUGUUAGCGGCGGACGGGUGAGUAACACGUGGAUAACCUACCUAUAAGACUGGGAUAACUUCGGGAAACCGGAGCUAAUACCGGAUGAUAUUUUGAACCGCAUGGUUCAAAAGUGAAAGACGGUCUUGCUGUCACUUAUAGAUGGAUCCGCGCUGCAUUAGCUAGUUGGUAAGGUAACGGCUUACCAAGGCAACGAUGCAUAGCCGACCUGAGAGGGUGAUCGGCCACACUGGAACUGAGACACGGUCCAGACUCCUACGGGAGGCAGCAGUAGGGAAUCUUCCGCAAUGGGCGAAAGCCUGACGGAGCAACGCCGCGUGAGCGAUGAAGGUCAUCGGAUCGUAAAACUCUGUUAUUAGGGAAGAACAUAUGUGUAAGUAACUGUGCACAUCUUGACGGUACCUAAUCAGAAAGCCACGGCUAACUACGUG